ensembl:misc_RNA Metazoa_SRP Metazoan signal recognition particle RNA
GCCAGGUGUAAUGGCAUAUGCCUGUGGUCCCAGCUACUCAGGAGGCUGAGGCAGGAGGAUUGCUUGAGCCCAGGAGGUUGAGGCUGCAAUGAGUAAUGAUUACACCACUGCACUCCAGCCUGGGCAACAGAGCAAGACCCUGUCUCCA